AGAGGUCUCUCAGAGUGCUCCUCCUUUCUGGCUUUCCUUCUUCCCUAGCCCUCUGUCUCAGUUUCUACCAUUUUUCUCUCUGUACUCACAGAGCCCUGUAUCUAUCACUGGAUGCAUUCUUAUUUACCAGUAUCAACUGUUCCCCAAUGCUUGCCUUGUGAAGGGGUGGGUGGACUGUGAAUGUGACCCUGCCCUGGGUGUAUAAAGCACUCGCCAAUUCAUAUGAAUAAUUUGAAUCCUAUCUUUUUAUUAUUGUUGCUUAUGCAAAGUACUCAAAGUGAAAUAUUCUACAUUGUAGGAAUACAAGGAAAUAAAAGAAAAUGCAGACUCUGAAAUUAUAAUGUUCCUUCUCUUGAUUACAGACUAUGGAUAAAAUCUUCUAAAUUUUUCCUAAGUAAACCAUUAUUGUUUUAGACAAAUUGAGAAAUGCAAAAAUAAAUAAAGAGAUGAAGAGUAGAAUCAAGGUGAGAUUUCCCAAACAAAGAGAAGAUGCAGGUUAUUAGGACUCAAGACCUAAAAUAUCUCUCAGUAUCUCACUUAACUAUGUCAACUGAAUCCACCCACUCAUUUAUUUUGUGAAACUGAUGAACAAGUAUUUGAUGAGUGAUUUCCUCACAUAGCAUCCAGGAACUCCAUGCCUUCCCCUGAUCCACAUAAAGUCAGUGAUCUGCAAUAUGUUGGCCAAAAGGAGAUUUAAGUCUUUCCAGUUUCCCAACCUGGACUCAAAAGUUCUUCCUCAAUAUAGUAAUACAUUUUACUGCAAAUAAUUAUUGGUGGUGAUUAUAUGUACAUGUAAUAUAAAAUAUAUAUUUUUAAAAAUCACUGUUUUAAAACAUAAUACUCAAAAACCAAAUAAACUAUCUUUUUUUAUAUUUUUAUAAACUAUCUUCAGGACACCAGUACUAAUAUUUUUUUUUUCUGAAGACAUUUCUGUGGAAGAUGUUUAGGACUUCCAAUGAGCUGUGCAGGUGAUUAUAUAUUUAAUAGAAAAUAGUUGUAGAUACUACAAGGAUCUGGGCAAUCACUGUAAUUUGCUUUACUUGUUUUUGAUUUCUUUUGAAAAGAAAAUAUAGGGAGAAAAGUCUUAAAAUAGACAUUUGUCUAUAUUACCAUACAAACAGCUCCUUCCUUAAUUUGAAUUUCAGGGUAAUGUUCCAAAGUCAUCAACUAGUCACAAAUUAAGGCUGGGUCAGGGAAAGGCUCCCAGUUUAACCUUUGUUUAUCUUUAUCUGUUUUUUUUUUUUGUAUAUUUAUUAUGUGUUAACUCAGUCUUCUUAGUAUUCCACCUAGAUAACCAGUUACUUAGAGGCGUGACAAUGUUUAUAUGUAAAACACAGCAGGAAGAAAGGGCAGAUGGCCAUCUCAGCGGUGCCCUGUAUGCAACAUUUACUACAACCCACUCACUUGGUUUAUCUCCUUUUAUGCACCAUUGUUCACUGAGUUUUGCACAUCUUUGGCAAAAUCUAACUCACUAGAUAUUGUGUUUCCAUGAUGAAAAGCAAACACACACAAUCUUUGAUUAAUAUCUGUGUGCCUCAAAUGCCAAUGUCAACCAAGUGAUACAAAAGUUGUAUGUCAAGAAUUUCAGAUUCUAAGGAAGCACAGGGUGGCGUCUGUCUUAAGGUGGGUGAUGUGAGGAAAAUGGAUUUUCCCUUAAUUUAUCUUGCUUUUGAUAUUACACAAAGCGAAAGGUAUUGAAUCAUUCACUCAAGUGUCUAAUUCUUUUUUUUUUUUUUUGAAGUGCAAGGGAAGUAAUUUGACCUUUGCUAAGUACUUUGAACAUAGAGAACACACGGUGCUCCAGGAAGUACAGGCAUCAGCACCUCUUUCCACAGUCAGCCCAGAGCAUAGCAGAUGAAUCCCAAAGUAACACUGCCCACAUUUCCACUCAAGCAAUGUACUUACUGAUGGCUUAAUACAAUAAAUAUGGAUGGCUAAUGAGAAAGUUCAAAUCAUAAGUGUUGACCCUUCUAACCUCUAAGAUGGGUGUUAACAUAUGCUUAUGAAUCUUGAAUAGGUCUAGUUUCCAAUGACCUGGGUAUCUAUGCUUUGAAUUUUUUAUGGGUCCUUUAGAUAUCAAAAUAUAUAAUGGCUGAAAGAACAUUUAGUGAUGCCCAGGCUAAUAAGUUCAGAGUCUUGAUUGUGCAUUGGGGUGACACACACAUGAAUAGUAGAUAAACAAGGGAGACAGAGAGUCUGGGACCUGAGCUUGUUAACUCAGAGUAGAUGUUAGAAAUGUCAGAUUCAGUCAUGUCAUGAUGAACCAGUCUUAAAAUUUGACUGAGAUUCUUUUAGGUCUCCUGCCCUGAAAUACUGUGGAAAUUACACAUUAGAAUCUCAGUUUCUUCAGAUGUGAAAUGGAGAUAAUAACAGGAAGUUUAAUCUUGUCACCGAAUCAGUUUCUUUCAGAGUUAUCCCUCUGGGUUGGGAAUUGUUCUAUAGGCUCUGCUUUCAUGAAAAAGGUUGCUCAUGUGAGCAAGAAGUGAUUGGGAAAUAGUCACAUAUUACUAAGUGCUAUGGAGAAAAUUAAACAGUUACUAUGGGAAAAGGCCAGAUCCAUGAGUGUAUAUUCCUUUAAAUAGAGGAAUCAAGAGGACAAGUAAUUGAGCUAUUUGUUGAUGGCCAUGAAGAAGUAUAUGAUAUGUUGAGAGUUAGGCAAAGGCAAAGGACCUAUGGUUAAAGCAAACAAAGUAAUGUGCAUAAGGCAUAGAAAGGUCAAGUGUGGUGUCAUGGUGAACAGGAAGAUGAGCAGGAGACAGGCUAGAGUUCACUGUAAGACUCCAUGGUGGUGCAGGCCUUUAAUACCAGCACUUAGUGGCAGGCAGAUCUGUGAGUUUGAGGCCAGCCUGGUCUAUGUAAUGAGUACCAGGACACCUAGGGCUAUAUAGUAAGACACUGUUUAAAAAGAAAAGAAAAGAAAAGAAAAAAAAGAAAAGGAAAGGAAAGGAAAGGAAAGGAAAGGAAAGGAAAGGAAAGAAAAGGAAAAAAAGAAGAGGAAAAGAAAAGGAAAGAAGAGAAAAGGGAAGGAAAGAAGAGAAAAGGGAAGGAAAA